rfam:Capsicum annuum cultivar Zunla-1 chromosome 12, whole genome shotgun sequence
ACCUCGUGGUUAGAACAUUGCAUAAGAUUUCUAUUAAAUCUCUCCCACGCCUCAUAUAUAGGCUCUCCAUUCAAUUGAUGAAAGUGUAUGAUUUCAUCACGCAAUU